rnacentral:rRNA from 1 species
UACGGGGGGGGCUAGCGUUGUUCGGAAUUACUGGGCGUAAAGGGCGCGUAGGCGGUCUGCUAAGUUGGAUGUGAAAACUCUGGGCUUAACCCAGAGCCUGCAUUCAAUACUGACAGGCUAGAGUUCUGGAGGGGAUAGCGGAAUUCCUGGUGUAGCGGUGAAAUGCGUAGAUAUCAGGAGGAACACCGGUGGUGUAGACGGCUUUCUGGACCGACACUGACGCUGAGACACGAAAGCGUGGGUAGCAAACAGG